rnacentral:rRNA from 1 species
AUUGAACGCUGGCGGCAGGCCUAACACAUGCAAGUCGAGCGGAUGAAGGGAGCUUGCUCCUGGAUUCAGCGGCGGACGGGUGAGUAAUGCCUAGGAAUCUGCCUGGUAGUGGGGGAUAACGUCCGGAAACGGGCGCUAAUACCGCAUACGUCCUGAGGGAGAAAGUGGGGGAUCUUCGGACCUCACGCUAUCAGAUGAGCCUAGGUCGGAUUAGCUAGUUGGUGGGGUAAAGGCCUACCAAGGCGACGAUCCGUAACUGGCCUGAGAGGACGAUCAGUCACACUGGAACUGAGACACGGUCCAGACUCCUACGGGAGGCAGCAGUGGGGAAUAUUGGACAAUGGGCGAAAGCCUGAUCCAGCCAUGCCGCGUGUGUGAAGAAGGUCUUCGGAUUGUAAAGCACUUUAAGUUGGGAGGAAGGGCAGUAAGUUAAUACCUUGCUGUUUUGACGUUACCAACAGAAUAAGCACCGGCUAACUUCGUG